CAGCGCCGGGGCCCCCAGGACGCCCAGGAGGAGGAGGAGGAGGAGGAGGAGGCAGCGGCUGCCCAGGGCCAUGGCCAUGGCGUUCUUCCUCCGAAGGAAAAGCUGACGGAGCCAUUGGGGAGCGGCUGUGCGGCUUCAGGCCCGGCCCAGCCCCAAGUCCUAACUCUGCUGUGCCUCCUCCUCCUCCUGCUCUUCUGCCGCUGCCAGCUCAUUGCACCCGGCCCAAGAUGCUGCUGCUCAGCCCCAGAAGUUUGGGAGAAUAAAUAAAAGGAAUUAAGUGUUUUAAUAACGA